UAUUAUUAUUCUUUAGGCUUAGUUGAAAGAAAUGGAAGGGGAGGAGCCUACACCCUGAAACUGGUAAUGAUAACCCCCCCAAUGAACACUAAUCCUUUAGCUGGUUCUGCUACACCAGCAGUAAAUGAACUUGAGGGACAGAGUGACAAAACAAUUGGAGAGGAAGAAAGGGUGAACAUAAGGCAAAAUGCAACCAUUGUCGUAAAGUAUACAACUGCCACCCAAAUAAACAUGGUACAAACUCUAUGAACAAACAUUUGCGUAGGGUUCACCCGUCUUUUUUUAGUAAAGUGGGGAAGAAGGGGACACUUCAUGGGUAUAUGCCAAAAAUUAAUGAAGAAUAU
rnacentral:lncRNA from 1 species